rnacentral:hammerhead_ribozyme from 1 species
AUCCAGCUGACGAGCCCCAAAUAGGACGAAACACGCAUAGUGGAU